UGCAUUUUUUUCUUGUUUCCACCACGAGCAUUCUGCCAAAGAUGAAGCUAAACUCACAGCUUGAAAAUGGCUUCCACUGCCAUCUCUCUUUCACUACCGCCAUUCCCUUCUUCGAGUGUUAAACCCAAAGCUUCCGUCUUCAGCAACUGCCAUUUAUUCAUUGCAAAAAACUCACCAUCUUCUUCUUCACUCCUGACUUCAACAUCAACACCAAGAAGAACAGAGCAAGUUUGUACUGCUUUCAGGAUCAAAUGGUCAUCGGCUUCUUCUUCUUCGGAUACUCUUCCUUCUGCUCCUAUUUUUGACUGUGAUGGUGUUCUCGUUGAUACUGAGAAUGAUGGCCACCGGGUUUCGUUCAAUUGCUUCCAAUUUUCCCCUCGAAAUUUGAUUGGGUUUUUGUUUUGUGUGUUGGGUAUUUGGUUAUGUUGUAGAAUUCGCCAUGUUUAUUGAAUUUUAGGAUUUGGGUUUUAUUAAAGAAUCCGUGAAUUAGAAUAUUUUUGUUUUCUUUGAGAUGGUUGGAUGCUUGUUUCUUUCCGAGUUAUCAUUGAACACCAUUUUUGGAUAAUCAUUGCAUUUCCGUCUCAUUAUCAGUCAUCAUAUUGGAAAUCUACAUGAACAGGGAAACACUCUGGUUGUCCGUUUCCCUUCGUUGGAAAGAAGCUGAAGAACGUCAAGCCCGUGAGCUCAAAGCCGGUUUGAAUCUGACCCAACAGAUGGUUGCUGCCAUUUCCAGGAUAUCAUCGACGGAAUCAUUUGCUUCUGGUUCUUGAAUCGGGACAAUAUAAAUGUCUGAUACUUUAAGAAGAAAAAAACGAAGAGACCAGCUGAUAUGAUGUUUAAGUACAGAAUCUCAUAUCAAGAAAGUUAACUGAUGAAUUCCCUCAUCACCUCGGAAUCUCGAUAAUGGUUGUCGUCGUAGUUUUCAUUUUAUGUUGAACAUGCUGGGGAAAAUUGCAUUAGGAAGGCAGAGGAAUCAAACAGAACAGAUUGACUCACAAUCAUUAUGCAGCUGUUUCAAGCAGAUGGAAGCUUAAGUCAGAAAUAUCUGUUGAUUUGGAACUAAUGGAUUUGUUGCAUCAAGACAUGGGUGGAGAUGAAAGAAUUGCUGCACAUCUGUUCUUCCUCACUCUGGCUGCAUGUAAUACUGUGAUCCCAAUUGUUUCUCAGGAUGCUUCUUCUGGUCAUGAUAGAAGUGACUCAUGGGGAGAGGUGAAAGCUAUUAAUUAUCAGGGUGAAUCACCUGAUGAGCAAGCACUAGUUUCUGCAGCCUCUGCUUAUGGGUAUACUCUACAUGAACGAACGUCAGGUCAUUUUGUGAUCGAUGUCAAUGGUGAUAAACUGAGGUUUUGGGGUUGCAUGAGUUUGAUAGUGUGCGCAAGAGAUUGUCAAUUGUUAUAAGAUUUCCAGACAAUACAAUCAAGGUGAUAGUGAAAGGUGUUGUUACCGCAAUGUUCAGCAUUUUAUCAAGAGAAACUGAGAAGGAUGAUCAGAUUAGACAAGUAACUCAAACUCAUUUGACCGAUUACUCGUCAGAAGUUGACAUAUUUUGGGCUAUCAAAUGUUGGUCUCAUCAACAGUACUGAUGACUUGUCUGGUCCAGCAGUUAGCGGAACAUCUCUACUUGAUGAU